rnacentral:rRNA from 1 species
UAAUACAGAGGGUGCAAGCGUUGUUCGGAAUUACUGGGCGUAAAGCGCGCGCAGGCGGAUCCUGUAAGUCGGAAGUGAAAUUUCGGGGCUCAACUCCGAAGCUGCUUCUGAUACUGCGGAUCUGGAGAUCGGUAGAGGUCGGUGGAAUUACAGGUGUAGCGGUGGAAUGCGUAGAUAUCUGUAAGAACACCCGUGGCGAAGGCGGCCGACUGGGCCGAAUCUGACGCUGAGGCGCGAAAGCGUGGGGAGCAAACAGGAUUAGAUACCCUGGUAGUCCACGCCGUAAACGAUGGGCACUAGGUGCCGGGGGGAGCGACCCCUUCGGUGCCGCAGCUAACGCGAUAAGUGCCCCGCCUGGGGAGUACGGCCGCAAGGCUG